rnacentral:tRNA from 1 species
GGCACUAUGACCGAGUGGUUAAGGUGUGAGACUUGAAAUCUCAUGGUCUUUGACCGCGCAGGUUCGAACCCUGCUGGUGUCG